UACGAAGGGGGCUAGCGUUGCUCGGAAUCACUGGGCGUAAAGCGCACGUAGGCGGCUUCUUAAGUCAGGGGUGAAAUCCUGGAGCUCAACUCCAGAACUGCCUUUGAUACUGAGGAGCUUGAGUCCGGGAGAGGUGAGUGGAACUGCGAGUGUAGAGGUGAAAUUCGUAGAUAUUCGCAAGAACACCAGUGGCGAAGGCGGCUCACUGGCCCGGUACUGACGCUGAGACGCGAAAGCGUGGGGAGCAAACAGG
rnacentral:rRNA from 1 species